GAAAUGCGAUAAGUAAUGUGAAUUGCAGAAUUCCGUGAAUCAUCGAAUCUUUGAACGCACAUUGCGCCCUCUGGUAUUCCGGGGGGCAUGCCUGUUCGAGCGUCAUUGCAACCCCUCAAGCUCGGCUUGUGUGUUGGGUCUCGUCCCCCUGUGGACGGGCCUGAAAUGCAGUGGCAGCACCGAGUCCGGUGUCUGAGUGUAUGGGCAUUAAUCAUCACUCGAUAGACCCAGCCGGCGCUGGUCCUCAACUUAUGAUUUUAAUCAUCCAGUUUUGACCUCGGAUCAGGUAGGAAUACCCGCUGAACUUAA
rnacentral:misc_RNA from 1 species